AUCAAACAUGCUUCUUAGAUUCAUUUUAAAACAUACACAUAUAUUUGGAUAAAAAUACGAUGCGCAUUGACAUCCUGUGACAUUUUAUCCUCUCAAUACAAAAUAUGUCUACACCUACAGCUUGAUCACUACACUAUUGGCUUGCAAGUUGCAACUUCUUGCAUCCUUCAUUCAUCUAAUAGUACAACAUAAUCCCUUUCUUUUAGUCAGAACUUGUGAAUCCUGUGUAAAAAUGAGUUUUCCUGUCAUAGAAAAAACAAGGAACAAAAAAGGUUUUAUGAUAUUGCAGAUAGACGCAUGCAUGAGUAAACCUGUCAUUCUAGCUGGCUUGAUCAUGUUCAGUACGAUGAUGAACUCUACAGAGUGCAGACGUUAUGAACUUAAUAAUACUUGCCUCUGUUUUCAGAAGUUAAUUUUGCAGGCACUGUUUCGUUUCCAGCCGAUGCGGCUGCAAUGUGUGUUUCCCCUAACUUCUUUACUGUGUUCAACUGUGAUACGUACAUCCAGAGGUAACCGAAUGAUACGUACAUGCACCGAAUGACC
rnacentral:lncRNA from 1 species